UACGUAGGGGGCAAGCGUUGUCCGGAAUCAUUGGGCGUAAAGCGCGUGUAGGCGGCCAGAAAAGUCCGCUGUGAAAACUCGAGGCUCAACUUCGAGCUGUCGGUGGAAACUUUCUGGCUAGAGUCCGGAAGAGGAGAAUGGAAUUCCUGGUGUAGCGGUGAAAUGCGCAGAUAUCAGGGAGGAAUACCGAUGGCGAAGGCAGGUCUCUGGGCUGACACUGACGCUCAUGCACGAAAGCGUGGGGAGCAAACAGG
rnacentral:rRNA from 1 species